GGCCGGUUAGCUCAGUUGGUUAGAGCAUUGUGCUGAUAACGCGAAGCUCGCGGGUUUGAUACCCGUAUUAGCCA